UGGGGAAUAUUGCACAAUGGGCGAAAGCCUGAUGCAGCAACGCCGCGUGAGUGAUGAAGGCCUUCGGGUCGUAAAGCUCUUUGAUCAGGGAUGAUAAUGACAGUACCUGAAAAACAAGCCACGGCUAACUACGUG
rnacentral:rRNA from 1 species